UAGGGAAUCUUCGGCAAUGGACGAAAGUCUGACCGAGCAACGCCGCGUGAGUGAAGAAGGUUUUCGGAUCGUAAAACUCUGUUGUUAGAGAAGAACAAGGACGUUAGUAACUGAACGUCCCCUGACGGUAUCUAACCAGAAAGCCACGGCUAACUACGUGCCAGCAGCCGCGGUAAUACGUAGGUGGCAGGCGUUGUCCGGAUUUAUUGGGCGUAACGCGAGCGCAGGCGGUUUCUUAAGUCUGAUGUGAAAGCCCCCGGCUCAACCGGGGAGGGUCAUUGGAAACUGGGAGACUUGAGUGCAGAAGAGGAGAGUGGAAUUCCAUGUGUAGCGGUGAAAUGCGUAGAUAUAUGGAGGAACACCAGUGGCGAAGGCGGCUCUCUGGUCUGUAACUGACGCUGAGGCUCGAAAGCGUGGGGAGCAAACAGG
rnacentral:rRNA from 1 species